AUAUACGAGCGCCAGAACUAAAAAAAGUUGACGAGGACUGAAGUUUAUCGAAAAUUCGGCGGAUACUUCAGAUGGUGGUUACAGCCAUUACCAACAAAACUUUUAGGAGACUAAAAGGACAAAGAGGUAAUAA
rnacentral:ncRNA from 1 species